rnacentral:rRNA from 1 species
GACGAACGCUGGCGGCGUGCUUAACACAUGCAAGUCGAACGGAAAGGCCCUGCUUUUGUGGGGUGCUCGAGUGGCGAACGGGUGAGUAACACGUGAGUAACCUGCCCUUGACUUUGGGAUAACUUCAGGAAACUGGGGCUAAUACCGGAUAGGAGCUCCUGCUGCAUGGUGGGGGUUGGAAAGUUUCGGCGGUUGGGGAUGGACUCGCGGCUUAUCAGCUUGUUGGUGGGGUAGUGGCUUACCAAGGCUUUGACGGGUAGCCGGCCUGAGAGGGUGACCGGCCUCAUUGGGACUGAGAUACGGCCCAGACUCCUACGGGAGGCAGCAGUGGGGAAUAUUGCACAGUGGGCGGAAGCGUGAUGCAGAAAUGCCGCGAGCGGGAUGCCGGCCUUCUGGUUGUAAACCGCUUUCGCCUGUGACGAAGCGUGAGUGACGGUAAUGGGUAAAGAAGCACCGGCUAACUACGUG